GUCACCGGGCACUUCCGCCCCCCAUUUGACGUUCUCGAGCCAUUUCCGCCCCGCAAAAUACACAUAGUAAAGGGAUCCAUAGAAACUCAAACUGUUGCUGAAAUGCACUGGACUGGGGAGUCUAAGGUAUUUCCCGGAUGACGUUACAGAGACGAGCUAUUUUGAGCGGAACAGGAGCAGCGACUCCCGGUGAGGCACAGCUACGGACACGGGAGCGUGGAGGUGGC